CAGUAGCCGCGGUAAUACAGAGGGUGCAAGCGUUAAUCGGAAUUACUGGGCGUAAAGCGCGCGUAGGUGGUUUGUUAAGUUGGAUGUGAAAGCCCCGGGCUCAACCUGGGAACUGCAUCCAAAACUGGCAAGCUAGAGUACGGUAGAGGGUGGUGGAAUUUACUGUGUAGCGGUGAAAUGCGUAGAUAUAGGAAGGAACACCAGUGGCGAAGGCGACCACCUGGACUGAUACUGACACUGAGGUGCGAAAGCGUGGGGAGCAAACAGGAUUAGAUACCCCUGUAGUCCCUGUCUCUUAUAC
rnacentral:rRNA from 1 species